rnacentral:tRNA from 1 species
GCUUUUAAAGGAUAACAGCCUAUCCGUUGGUCUUAGGAUCCAAAAACUCUUGGUGCAAGUCCAAGUAAAAGCU